rnacentral:lncRNA from 1 species
CCAUUGGACAUAGCCUUCGACCAAUAGGAAUGAAGUUUCCCAUUUCUUGCCUUCAUCUAACCAUGUCUUGCUUUCAUCCCUCCCAAUAAGCCUUCUAUUAGUUAAGAUUUUCUUCUUUAGGCUCUAAACUCUUCUCAAGGCUUUAUACUAAACAUUUAGGUCUUAUAAUUAUUUUAAAUGUUAUAAUCAAAAAAAAUAAAACUCAAAAUAAAGUUUCUUAAAUCCACUCUCUUUAAAUUAAUCUAUUAAUCAUUCUAACAUAUUUCUAGAUUUAUUAGCAUAUAAUAUAUUUUAACUAAUUUUUACAUACUAUAAGCUUUUACAGUCAGACAACGAAAUAGCUUGAAAUGGAACCGAAGCCUCCGUAUUCGGGACCUCAUUGAAUUGUCCAACCAAGUCAAGUCUCAUACAGGGUAAGAGGUCCAUACCAAGACCUAGAUUGGAUGUCCCCAUAAUUGGAUCAAAUUGGCCCUUCACAUCAGACUUAUCCAAAUA